rnacentral:lncRNA from 1 species
CAAGCAUCAUGCAGCUGACUGGCACAAGAGGAACUUACUGCUGACUUCGGGGCCAUAGGUCCAGGAGCAGGAGUGAGGCCAGCUGCUACACCUCCUAGGUUGUCACUUCUCUCCUGCCCCAGGUGCUGAUGUCACCAGUAGCUCUACCCACAGCCACAUGAAGGAGCAUUGGAAGACCACUGGCUCUUAUCUGCCCUGAAAAGACCGAACACUCUAACCACCCGGAACCUCUACCUGCUUUCUCCUGCCCACUUACUGCCUUUCAACCCCCCUGAAAAACUCUGGGAAUGUUGUUGUCUCCAAGUUAAGACACAGGGUGGGGAGCUAGAUGUGUGUGUGCACGCGUGUGUGUGCAUGUGUGUGCACAGUGCCCCUCUGCCCAGAGGUGUCCUUCCGUCCUCCUCAGACCAGGUCCUCCAGGACUCUCCUGCCCCUAGAUCACAGGUGCACUGGUCCGUGUUGCUGUGGCGCCCUCACACGGCAUGGCUGUCCCAGCAGGGCACUGCUGGUGGCUUCUCCCCUGAGCUCCUGAGAGCAGAUGUGGGCUUCAGGUUCUGAGAAUCUGACUACUGUUUUGAGCUUCUCUGUCAGGUGUGAGCAACAUGACUCUAGAAGGGAAGACCUUCCAUGUACCAGGAUUUUAGAGAAAAUUUGUCACAUACUACAGCUGCAUGAUUGAAACACUUCCAGACUUCCUCCAGUCCACCUGACUUCAAGGCACUUCCUCUUGCCCCAGCUCCUGAGCCUUCCUGCCCUUCUGCACAGGAGAUAAAAAACAGUUGAGGAGAGAGAGGCUGAGAGAAAACGUCAACGACCCAGAGAUUCAGUAACCAAACAGCAGGAAGUGAUGAGAGUCUCCAAACAACUUUGAGAUGACUUUGGAAGGGACCCUGAUGCCACAUUGACUGAGCACCAACAGCCACUAGCCUGAUGUCCCCCACAAAAUGCAGAGUCAGGAGGAGCACCUCAUUGAGGCUGCACAAUGAAAGUGUGUAACAAGGAGGUCCAUGCAUGUAGCUGCUCGUCUUUCAGCUGAGGCUGUUCUAGUGAGGACAGGCUGGGUGCUAGGUCCCUGGAGGAGAAGUGGGGGCUUCUCAUGAACGCACGUGCACCUUUACACCCGUAUCAUGUGGGGUCUGCCAUAUGUCCCCAAGGACCCAAGACUAGUGAUCAUCUCUUGAACCUCUGCUGUAAGACAUCAGCAGUAAACACGGCACAGGUAGCCCAGAAGUAAUGUGGUUGGAUAGAGACCUUCCAAGCAUCAGCAGUGUGCAGACAUAGGCUCUGAGAGAG